GACGAACGCUGGCGGCGUGCUUAACACAUGCAAGUCGAACGGAAAGGCCCUGCUUUUGUGGGGUGCUCGAGUGGCGAACGGGUGAGUAACACGUGAGUAACCUGCCCUUGACUUUGGGAUAACUUCAGGAAACUGGGGCUAAUACCGGAUAGGAGCUCCUGCUGCAUGGUGGGGGUUGGAAAGUUUCGGCGGUUGGGGAUGGACUCGCGGCUUAUCAGCUUGUUGGUUGGGUAGUGUCUUACCAAGGCUUUGACGGGUAGCCGGCCUGAGAGGGUGACCGGCCACAUUGGGACUGAGAUGCGGCCCAGACUCCUACGGGAGGCAGCAGUGGGGAAUAUUGCACAAUGGGCGGAAGCCUGAUGCAGCAACGCCGCGUGCGGGAUGACGGCCUUCGGGUUGUAAACCGCUUUCGCCUGUGACGAAGCGUGAGUGACGGUAAUGGGUAAAGAAGCACCGGCUAACUACGUG
rnacentral:rRNA from 1 species